rnacentral:rRNA from 1 species
GACGAACGCUGGCGGCGUGCUUAACACAUGCAAGUCGAACGGAAAGGCCCUGCUUUUGUGGGGUGCUCGAGUGGCGAACGGGUGAGUAACACGUGAGUAACCUGCCCUUGACUUUGGGAUAACUUCAGGAAACUGGGGCUAAUACCGGAUAGGAGCUCCUGCUGCAUGGUGGGGGUUGGAAAGUUUCGGCGGUUGGGGUUGGACUCGCGGCUUAUCCGCUUGUUGGUGGGUAGUGGCUUACCAAGGCUUUGACGGGUAGCCGGCCUGAGCGGGUGACCGGCCACAUUGGGACUGAGAUACGGCCCAGACGCCUACGGGAGGCAGCAGUGGGGAAUAUGGCACAAUGGGCGGAAGCCUGAUGCAGCAACGCCGCGUGCGGGAUGACGGCCUUCGAGGUGUAAACCGCUGUCGCCUGUGACGAAGCGUGAGUGACGGUAAUGGGUAAAGAAGCACCGGCUAACUACGUG